rnacentral:piRNA from 1 species
CCUAGUGAUGCACUGUAGCCAGUACC